CAGAGCCCCAUUAAGGGUUUCUGCACCGAGGCCGUGAGCAGCUGCCGCCUCGUGUGGGGAGCAGAGACAAGGCCCGAGGCCGGGGCCCCCCCACGCCGGAGACGACGUGUGAGUCGGGGGGAGGCUGCAGAGCUGCAGGGGCCGGGCGAUCAGAGACGGGGGCACACGUGCACAGGGCCCUUCCGGCGGAUGAGCUGCUGCCCAGUGGGAAGCCAGGGCCCCGGGGUGGGGGCCGGCACCACCUGCUCCAGCCAAGCUCUCACCGUCACCCCCUGCGGGGCCUGCACCCCGCCCGGUGCCCCCUCAGCAGCACCCCAGCAGCGUCCCUGGGCCCAGCUGAGCUCGCCCCCUUGCGCCCCGUGAGGGCUGGCCCUCUGUGGCCCCCAACACAACCUAUCCAGGUGAGACAAGGGCCCGCCUCUGCAGGUGGGCCCCAGCCUUUGCUCUUCGCUGCCCCGAGGGUCUGACGGAGAAGCCGCGGCCUUCAAAGGCCGCCCGCUCCGUCCCGCCACGUGUGCACCCACAACGGGCUCUCCCCAUCCCCGUCCCCUUGCCCGGUGCCCCAGGCACUCCCGAGGUGCCGUUCCACGAGGGGAAUGGCAGCGGCCGCGACAGGAAGGUCUGUCAUCGUGCCACCCUGUGCACGGCCCCGCUUUCUCAGGAGGGCGCCAGAGGCGGGCCGGUGCGCACACACCUCCCGGCCAUCGUGACUAGGUCACACGCCCACCCCUGACCCGUCGGGACCAAAGGUAAGACUCUUCCUGACGCUUGGGUGAAAGUCACACUUGCCCUUUUCUCAUGGAACCCAAAGGCGUUUCCAACCCAGGUGAAAAGUCCGGACCUGCCGCAGUAAAGCCACCACCGGCAGGGGCGGUGCCACCCCAAGAAGCGGAACCAGAGGGGGAAACACGAGCCAAGUCCUGACAGCGCUGACUGAGCCCCUGGUUCAAACUGUGCCUGAAGCCGGAGCAACUGUGUGAGCCCCUCCUCUCCCCGUUUUCCUUACACCCAACUGGGUUGGACUACUGUCGCUCACAACCAGAGGCCCUGACGCAGGAACAGGCACAAAAUCCCGCACCUGCCUCUGAAUCGAGGCCGCACGCCACGCGCUGUAAAUCGCUGAGAUGUUUACGCCCGGGAGACAAAGGCUGUGGGUCCCCUUUUCAAGAACGGAGAUGUAAUUCACGUGCCAUAAAAUCCACCCGUUUAAGGCGUCGAUUCAGCAAUUCCUGGUAUACUCACAGGCUGUGCAGCCACCACGAGGGUCUAGUUCCAGAACAGUCCAUCGUGCCAAAUGGAAACCCCAUCCCGACGGCCUCGGGAAGACGGGGACAAAGUUCCAUUAUCGUGCCGGGGGCAGCUCUCACCUCCAGCCGCCCCUGUGAACCCAGACCUCCUCCCAUAUCAUCUGAGUGAUUUCCGAGGCUGUCAUGGGUCAGACAAUGUCCCCAUCCUGCCCAAUAUGUAUGCUGGAGUUCCAACCUGCACGACCUCAGGCCUACCCUUGUCUGGAGACAAGACGGCUGCAGACCAGUGAGCCAGGACGAGGUCAUCCCGGUGCAGGAGCCCUAACCCUAUCUCCCCGGGGCCUCGUGAAAAGGGACGUCUGGACACAGGCCGCAGAGAGACGACCACGUGAGGACACGGGACGCCGGCCCCGGGAGGACCACCCCAGCAGCCCCAGGACGGGGAGACACAAUUUCUCCUGCUUACGCCGCCGGCCUGUGGCCCCUCUUCGGGGGCCUCACCUGGGACCCGCCAAGGAAGGGGCACCCACAGGCCCACGGCUGCCUUGAGGGGGGCUGGCUCCCAGCUGCCCCGGCCACACAGCAAGCAGGAGGCCCGGCUUCCAGCAGAGGCCAAACUGAGGGGCCAGCCUGACCGCCACCACAAUGCUGGGGUUGAAACUCAGGGCACCGGUGGCACAGGAAGGGCAUCUGGGCUCUGGCCGCUCUCUGAGUCACACGGCCAGGCCCUCUGAUUCUCACGUUGCCCCAGCUGGCGGGUUGGGCUCCGAGCUCCAGACAGCAGGGGCUGUGUCCGGAACCCACCUUGGGCCAGACCCCGGCCACCUGACUCACCACCUCAUUGCACCCUCGUGAUGCCCCAGAGUGGGGGGCAGGCGGCAUCCUUCCAGCUUCACGGCUGAGGAAACUGAGGCCACUGGGUCUUAGACUGCCAGGAGGCUGCUGCAGCCCCUGUGCUAAGUGUGCAUAGCUGAGGAGGUGUACUUUCCAGUGUACACGGGCAUUCACACCCCCUCCACCGCUGCACGGCUCUCCACAGCAUCCACGGGCAUUCACACCCCCUCCACCGCUGCACGGCUCUCCACAGCGUCCGCGGGCAUUCACACCCCCUCCACCGCUGCACGGCUCUCCACAGCGUCCGCGGGCAUUCACACCCCCUCCACCGCUGCACGGCUCUCCACAGCGUCCGCGGGCAUUCACACCCCCUCCACCGCUGCACGGCUCUCCACAGUGUACAUGGGCAAACCUGAGCACCUGAGUCUGGGGAAUGGGGUGGGCUCGGGACCCGUGAACCUUCACUCAGUGGAGGUUUCCGGAAGGUGGGGCACAUUAGGGUUCAGAGCACCCUCUCAGUGGGGACGCCUGGUCACCCGAGAGGCCCUGACCACACAGCCCUGCAAGGGGGCUUUGCAGGGACCAGGCUGCAGAGGGGCUGGCCAGCCCUGGGCAGGAGACAGGCCUGUGGCCAGUGUGUCCCCUCGUCACACGCUCAGCGCGGUGGGGAUAAAGGGUGUGCAUGCAAAUGGCCCAGACCACGGAGGAGCCUGUGGCUGGGUGAUUAAAAUCGGUCUCAGAAUCAGCUGCCACCUUGC